ACCGGCGCACGGGUGAGUAACGCGUUUCCAACCUGCCUAUAACUAGGGAAUAACCUUGCGAAAGAAAGAUUAAUACCCUAAGAUUUCCUUUGAUGACAUCAGAUUAGGAAUAAAGAUUUAUCGGUUAUAGAUGGGGAUGCGUCUGAUUAGCUUGUUGGCGGGGUAACGGCUCACCAAGGCAACGAUCAGUAGGGGUUCUGAGUGGAAGGUCCCCCACAUUGGAACUGAGACACGGUCCAAACUCCUACGGGAGGCAGCAGUGAGGAAUAUUGGUCAAUGGGCGGAAGCCUGAACCAGCCAAAUAGCGUGCAGGAUGACGGCCAUUUGGGUUGUAAACUGCUUUUAUACAGGAAUAAAGUUAGCCACGUGUGGUUAUUUGUAGGUACUGAAUGAAUAAGGACCGGCUAUUUCCGUGCCAGCAGCCUCGGUAAUACGGAAGGUCCAGGCGUUAUCCGGAUUUAUUGGGUUUAAAGGGAGCGUAGGCCGUCUGUUAAGCGUGUUGUGAAAUGUAGAUGCUCAACAUCUGAAUUGCAGCGCGAACUGGCAGACUUGAGUGUGUGCAACGUAGGCGGAAUUCGUGGUGUUGCGGUGAAAUGCUUAGAUAUCACGAAGAACACCGAUUGCGAAGGCAGCUUACGGGAACACAACUGACGCUGAAGCUCGAAAGUGCGGGUAUCGAACAGGAUUAGAUACCCUGGUAGUCCGCACGGUAAACGAUGGAUGCCCGCUGUUGACCCACCUGGGCCAGCGGCCAAGCGAAAGCAUUAAGCAUCCCACCUGGGGAGUACGCCGGCAACGGUGAAACUCAAAGGAAUUGACGGGGGCCCGCACAAGCAGAGGAACAUGUGGUUUAAUUCGAUGAUACGCGAGGAACCUUACCCGGGCUUGAAUUGCAGAGGAAAGAUCCAGAGAUGGUGAUGCCCUUCGGGGCCUCUGUGAAGGUGCUGCAUGGUUGUCGUCAGCUCGUGCCGUGAGGUGUCGGCUUAAGUGCCAUAACGAGCGCAACCCCUUUCUUUAGUUGCUAUCAGGUAAUGCUGGGCACUCUGGAGAUACUGCCACCGUAAGGUGUGAGGAAGGUGGGGAUGAAGUCAAAUCAGCACGGCCCUUACGUCCGGGGCUACACACGUGUUACAAUGGCCGGUACAAAGAGAAGGUUGCUUGCAAAAGUAAUCAAAUCCUUAAAACCGGUCCCAGUUCGGACUGGGGUCUGCAACUCGACCCCACGUAGCUGGAUUCACUA
rnacentral:rRNA from 1 species